CUUAGGAGAAACUACAUGCAGCCUCGGACAGCAACGUACGUACGCAGGAUUUAGAUAACCAAAAGAGCAGCAAACAUGGCGUCGUCCCAGAUCGAAGUUGUCGAUCGAGCACCCCCGUCUUCCUCUUCUUUAGCGGUGGUUGCUCCUGGUCCUGGUCUCGUCGCUGUAAAGCCUGGACAUCAAACGUACGCACGUACGUUGCACCGUUAUUAUUUCCAUGCAUGCUGCUAACCCGUUCCAAGCCCCAGUAGACAGUGCUAUCAAAAACCCAUUUUAUAUUGCGAGAUGGAUCAUGAGCUAGCGUACGUACCAGUCGUAGACGGUGGGAGAGUUGGGCUGGGGGCGGUCGAAGAGGUUGGCGCCGAGGCCCUUGGUGGCGAGGUUGCUCCCGGGGUGGAAGACGCUCCGCCACACGCUGCCGCCGCGCGGCGGCGUCGUCGACGACGACGACGGCGUCACCGGCGUGGUCGGGGUCGUCGGCAUCGACUGCGACGGCUUCAUCGCCUCCCCCGCAGCUGCACCCCCACCAACACCCACGUAAUAAAAACCGCCGUCAGUUCUCACGUUCUUCUCGCUAGUUUCAACUUUCAAGCCAUGUCGGCACCUCUGGACGUAGUACUAACGUAUGUAGACGUACUGUACCUGUGUUGAUGGCGAGGGGCUGGGUGGCGGCGGCCCGGCGGAGCUUGUCGAGGCCCGUCUCCGGCCGAGGCCCGGCCACCACGUCGUCCCACAGCUUGUCCAGCAUCUUGUAGGUGGAUCUGAUCGGUGCAAGAACUUGUGUCACGUACUAGCUUGUAGAGUACUGCCACCACCGAUAAGAUCAAGUGCACUGGCC
rnacentral:lncRNA from 1 species